rnacentral:misc_RNA from 1 species
GAUGAAGAACGUAGCGAAAUGCGAUACGUAAUGUGAAUUGCAGAAUUCAGUGAAUCAUCGAGUCUUUGAACGCACAUUGCGCCCCCUGGUAUUCCGGGGGGCAUGCCUGUCCGAGCGUCAUUGCUGCCCUCAAGCACGGCUUGUGUGUUGGGCCUCCGUCCUCCUCCCGGGGGACGGGCCCGAAAGGCAGCGGCGGCACCGCGUCCGGUCCUCGAGCGUAUGGGGCUUCGUCACCCGCUCUUGUAGGCCCGGCCGGCGCUUGCCGACACAUCAAUCUUUUUUCCAGGUGGACCUCGGAUCAGGUAGGGAUACCCGCUGAACUUAAGCAUAUCAAUAAGCGGAGGA